rnacentral:rRNA from 1 species
GUGAGUAACACGUGACUAACCUACCCCCGAGUGGGGAAUAACUCCGGGAAACCGGGGCUAAUACCGCAUAACAUCGCAAGAUCAAAGCAGCAAUGCGCUUGGAGAGGGGGUCGCGGCUGAUUAGCUAGUUGGUGAGGUAACGGACCACCAAAGGCG